GUUUUCACCCAGUGCUGUACAACGUGGGGUGCGGGUUCUACCGGGGCGAAGGUGGCCCAUGAUGUCGGGCUUUCUGGUAAGUUUGUUUGUUUAUUUAUUUCAGUGAGCAGACUUUUUUCUGAAAACACAGCAAACUGCCCCUGCUUGCCAGGCUACAUGUUUCAACAACAUGUGUGUGUGUGUCUUUGCAGUGGAUGUGUGCCGCAAGUGCUGGAAGGGGCUGCGGGAUGUCUACAUGAGGGAGAAAAGGAGGGAGGAGGAAGGUGGGAGAAGUGGGUCAGCGGCCUCCCAGCAGAGGAAACGGCGUUUCUCUGCGGUGAUGUCCUGCCUCGACCCCUUUAUUGCCCCGAGGGAGACUACCAGCAACAUGUCUCGGGAGGUCGAGGAAGAUGUCACUGUAGAAAAUGUUGCUUCUUCUGCUGGGAUGCCUGAAGAGCUGGAGGAAGCAGGCCCCUAAGGAGUGGAGCAUGGACUCUUUGACGGUUGGUUGAUGAGUGAAAAAGAUAGCAAAUAAAUUUGAGUCCCCUCAUGGUUUAAACACAUCAUUGUAGUCUAAUUUAAGAUGGACAGAUCAAAUCAUGCACAAAUAAUGUGUGAAAAUUUUUGAUUUGAAUUACAAUGUUGCCUGAUUGCAGAGGUUUGAUUUCAAACAUUUUUGUCACAAUUUUAACUUAAGAUAAGCCUGCGCCCUCUCCUGCUCCAGCUCCCUCUCCUGCUGCAGCUCCCUCUCCUGCUCCAGCUCCCUUGCCUUCUCCAGCUCCCUCGCCUUCUCCUGCCCCCUCGUCUUCUCCUGCUCCCUCACCUGCUCCACGGAGUGAUGCCUCGGGCCCCACUGCAGCCAGACCAAAAGGUAUUGAAAAGAAAUAUUAACCAUAUAUUCAAUGAAAUUGCUCAAGGUCAAAUUCACAGAAAUUAUUACAAAUAGUAACCGAUUAGUUUUUUUUUUAUGACAGGGAGGAAGAGGAGGACGUCUCCCACUUCCAGGUUGGAAGACAUCGAGGAGCUCCUCUUUCAGGCCCUGCAGAGGCAACAAGACGCACCUCCACCACCACCACCCGCAUCUUGCCCAUCAGAAGAC